rnacentral:rRNA from 1 species
GGCCCGACUCCUACGGGAGGCAGCAGUGGGGAAUCUUGGACAAUGGGGGAAACCCUGAUCCAGUCAUGCCGCGUGUGUGAAGAAGGCCUUAGUGUUGUAAAGCACUUUCAGCGAGGAAGAAAUGUUAUAAACUAAGAAUUUAUAAAAAUGACGGUACUCGCAGAAGAAGCACCGGCUAACUACGUGCCAGCAGCCGCGGUAAU